CAGUCGCCACGGUAAAACGUAGGGUGCAAGCGUUAUCCGGAAUUAUUGGGCGUAAAGAGCUCGUAGGCGGUUUGUCACGUCAGCUGUGAAAACGCGAGGCUCAACCUAGCGUCUGCAGUGGGUACGGGCAGACUAGAGUGCGGUAGGGGAGAUUGGAAUUCCUGGUGUAGCGGUGGAAUGCGCAGAUAUCAGGAGGAACACCGAUGGCGAAGGCAGAUCUCUGGGCCGUAACUGACGCUGAGGAGCGAAAGGGUGGGGAGCAAACAGGCUUAGAUACCCGUGUAGUCCCUGUCUCUUAUAC
rnacentral:rRNA from 1 species